AGCGAACGCUGGCGGCAGGCUUAACACAUGCAAGUCGAACGGGCUCUUCGGAGCUAGUGGCAGACGGGUGAGUAACGCGUGGGAACGUGCCUUUCGGUUCGGAAUAACUCAGGGAAACUUGAACUAAUACCGGAUACGCCCUUCGGGGGAAAGAUUUAUCGCCGAAAGAUCGGCCCGCGUCUGAUUAGCUAGUUGGUGAGGUAAUGGCUCACCAAGGCGACGAUCAGUAGCUGGUCUGAGAGGAUGAUCAGCCACAUUGGGACUGAGACACGGCCCAAACUCCUACGGGAGGCAGCAGUGGGGAAUAUUGGACAAUGGGCGCAAGCCUGAUCCAGCCAUGCCGCGUGAGUGAUGAAGGCCUUAGGGUUGUAAAGCUCUUUUGUCCGGGAAGAUAAUGACUGUACCGGAAGAAUAAGCCCCGGCUAACUUCGUGCCAGCCGCCGCCGUAAGAC
rnacentral:rRNA from 1 species